UUCAGAAUUAGUCUCAACCACAGAAGGUGCCUCCACCAUGCCUGACUUAUCAGGACAAGGCUCUGCUUCACAUUCAGAAUUAUUCUCAACCAUAACAGGUGCUUCCACCAUGCCUGAAUUAUCCGGACAGGGCUCUGCUUCACAUUCAGAAUUGUUUGCAACCAUAGCAGGUGCCUCCACCAUGCCUGACUUAUCUGGACAAGGCUCUGCUUCACAUUCAGAAUUGUUCUCAACCAUAGCAGGUGCUUCUAUCAUGCCUGACUUAUCUGGACAAGGCUCUGCUUCACAUUCAGGAUUGUCCUCAACCAUAGCAGGUGCCUCCAUCACACCUGACUUAUCUGGAAAAGACUCUGCUUCACAUUCGGAAUUGUUCUCAACCAUAGCAGGUGCCUCCACCAUGCCUGACUUAUCUGGACAAGGCUCUGCUUCACAUUCAGAAUUGCUCUCAACCAUAGCAGGUGUGUCCACCGUGCCUGACUUAUCUGGACCAAUGGUAAUAGGUAAAGACUCUCCGGGAUUAUCAGCAACAUCAUGAAAUUUGAUGACAUUUGGAGUACCUUCAGCACUUUCAACAUUGAUAGCAGAAGAUCCUAAAGACUCUCUAGCAG
rnacentral:lncRNA from 1 species